UUUUAGGUUUUUUGCUCUGCAGCAGGUUAGAAACGGGUCGGCGUGCAUAAUACAUGCAAGUCGAGCGACAUGGAUUGAGAGCUUGAUGAAGUGAGCUUACUCGCGGAUGGGUGAGUGACACGUGGAUUACCUGCUCAUAAUACUCGGAGUAGUCCGGGAAACCGUGGGUAAUACCGCAUAACUUUUUCAUCCGUCUGGUGGGAAAAAGAAAGGGAUCUUCGGCCGUCACUUAAUCAUAUGCGCGUGUCUCAUUUGAUAGAUGGUGAGGUAUAGAGUCAUCACAGCAAGGAGGUCUAGCCGACGUGAGAGGGUGAUCUCACUCACUGGGAAUGAGACACGGCCCAGAGUCUUAUGGGAGGCAGCACUAGGGAAUAUUCCGCACAGGAGGAAAGUGCGAGGGAGCAACGCCGCGUGAGUGAUGAAGGCUUUUUGGUAGUAAAAAUCAGUUGUUAGGGAAGAACAAGGCAUAGUUGAAUAACCUGGCACCUUGACGGUACCCAACCAGAAAGCCACGGGUAAAUAUGUGCCCGCCGCCGCGGUAAUACGUAGGGGGCCAGCGUUUUCUGGAAUUAUUGGGGGUAAAGCGCGGGCAGGUGGUUUCUUAAGUUUGAAGUGAAAAUCCCCGGGUCAACCGUGGAGGGUCAUCCAAACUGGGAGACUUGAGUUCCGAAGAGGAAAGUGGAAUUCCAUGGGUAGCGGUGAAAUGGGUAGAAAUAUGGAGGAACCCCCAGGGGGAAGGGGACUCUCUGGUAUGUAAAUGACCAUGAGGCGGGAAAGGGUGGGGGGCAAACCGGGUUAGAUACCCUGGUUGUUCCCCCCGUAAACGAAGAGUGCUAAGCGUUAGAGGUCUUCCGCCUCUUUAGUGGCUGCAAGUUAACGCAAUAAGCAGACCGCAUGGAGACGCGACCGGUG
rnacentral:rRNA from 1 species